rnacentral:rRNA from 1 species
AGAACGAACGCUGGCGGCAUGCCUAACACAUGCAAGUCGAACGAGACCUUCGGGUCUAGUGGCGCACGGGUGCGUAACGCGUGGGAAUCUACCCUUGGGUUCGGAAUAACAGUUGGAAACGACUGCUAAUACCGGAUGAUGACGAAAGUCCAAAGAUUUAUCGCCCAGGGAUGAGCCCGCGUAGGAUUAGCUAGUUGGUGAGGUAAAGGCUCACCAAGGCUACGAUCCUUAGCUGGUCUGAGAGGAUGAUCAGCCACACGUGGGACUGAGACACGG